CAACAUGUUCUACAAAUUUAAAAAAUACAUCAGGAAAUGAAUAUACCAUUAAAACAGUUUUCAAAUUUGAAAUCAUUACAUACAUAAUAAUUUGGCUCUAAAUCAAGGAUGGCUGUAUACAAAACUUGCAGGAUGGUCUCAU